rnacentral:tRNA from 1 species
AGUUCCUUAGCUCAGUUGGUUUAGAGCAGCUCCCUUACAAGGAGAAGGUCAACAGUUCGACUCUGUUAGGAACUA